rnacentral:rRNA from 1 species
UACGUAGGCAGCGAGCGUUGUUCGGAGUUACUGGGCGUAAAGGGUGUGUAGGCGGUUGUUUAAGGUUGGUGUGAAAUCUCCCGGCUCAACUGGGAGGGUGCGCCGAAUACUGAAUGACUAGAGUGUGGGAGAGGUGAGUGGAAUUCCUGGUGUAGCGGUGAAAUGCGUAGAUAUCAGGAGGAACACCGGUGGUGUAGACGGCUCACUGGACCAUAACUGACGCUGAGACACGAAAGCGUGGGUAGCAAACAGG